rnacentral:ncRNA from 1 species
UAAAAGACUAUGAUUAGGAAAAGUACCUUAGGUAAUUAAUUUUAGAGAGUAGCUGUAUGGUGGAAAGCUAUAUUAAAUUUGAGGGAAAAUCACCUAGGAGUUGGAUACUGAAAGGCAAAGCUUUGCUAAAUAAGUCAUCACGUAAGAGCCUGCGUUAAAGGAUAGAGUAUGUAUGUACUUGAAAUAUAGCAUUUGAUUUUUUAUUUAAAUGUUAACCUUAGGUGGUUUGCGAAUUCAACUUCGUCCUGUAG